rnacentral:rRNA from 1 species
UACAGAGGGUGCAAGCGUUAAUCGGAAUUACUGGGCGUAAAGCGCGCGUAGGUGGUUUGUUAAGUUGAAUGUGAAAUCCCGGGGCUCAACCCCGGGCCUGCAGUGGAUACGGGCUGGCUAGAGGCAGGCAGGGGAGAACGGAAUUCCUGGUGUAGCGGUGAAAUGCGCAGAUAUCAGGAGGAACACCGGUGGCGAAGGCGGUUCUCUGGGCCGUAACUGACGCUGAGGAGCGAAAGCGUGGGGAGCGAACAGG